rnacentral:rRNA from 1 species
UUAUUUGAGAGUUUGAUCCUGGCUCAGGAUGAACGCUGGCGGCGUGCCUAACACAUGCAAGUUGAGCGAUUUACUUCGGUAAAGAGCGGCGGACGGGUGAGUAACGCGUGGGUAACCUACCCUGUACACACGGAUAACAUACCGAAAGGUAUGCUAAUACGGGAUAAUAUAUUUGAGAGGCAUCUCUUGAAUAUCAAAGGUGAGCCAGUACAGGAUGGACCCGCGUCUGAUUAGCUAGUUGGUAAGGUAACGGCUUACCAAGGCGACGAUCAGUAGCCGACCUGAGAGGGUGAUCGGCCACAUUGGAACUGAGACACGGUCCAAACUCCUACGGGAGGCAGCAGUGGGGAAUAUUGCACAAUGGGCGAAAGCCUGAUGCAGCAACGCCGCGUGAGUGAUGAAGGCCUUCGGGUCGUAAAACUCUGUCCUCAAGGAAGAUAAUGACGGUACUUGAGGAGGAAGCCCCGGCUAACUACGUGCCAGCAGCCGCGGUAAUACGUAGGGGGCUAGCGUUAUCCGGAUUUACUGGGCGUAAAGGGUGCGUAGGCGGUCUUUCAAGUCAGGAGUGAAAGGCUACGGCUCAACCGUAGUAAGCUCUUGAAACUGGGAGACUUGAGUGCAGGAGAGGAGAGUGGAAUUCCUAGUGUAGCGGUGAAAUGCGUAGAUAUUAGGAGGAACACCAGUUGCGAAGGCGGCUCUCUGG